AAUAAGGAGUGUGUAUUCCUGGAAAAGCUUCAUUCAUUGUUUAAUGUUUAUUUUGCGUAGUACUUCUGGUUGUGUUGUUUCGAUAAUAGUUUUUGCGACUGAUUUCCGAAAUAAGUAGCAGUAAUGUUACACAUUACUGAAACUUUACUGUUCUUGAUAUUUAAGCUACUUUGUUUACCCGAUUAUCGGUACCUUACAUAAAUCUCAAUGCCGCAGGGUGCAUAAUAUUUUCACAGUUCAAGUUCAAGAUGACAGCGAAUUUCUUUUGCAGCAGGGCUUCCGAAGCUGCCAAUGAAGACUGGCAGUUACCAUUAUCUUUUCUCAAAAAUCAUCAUGUUGAAGCUAUUGAAGGGGCUCCCACAGUUUUUCAUAGCUGGAGGAUGAAAGAACGGAUGAAGACAGUUAGCGUGGCUCUAGUCUUAUGUCUCAACGUCGGAGUGGAUCCUCCAGAUAUAGUAAAAACACAGCCCUGUGCAAGGCUCGAAUGUUGGGUUGAUCCAUUGUCCAUGAGCCCACAGAAGGCACUGGAGAAUAUCGGAGCCAACCUGCAGAAGCAGUACGAGCGCUGGCAGCCUAAGGCAAGGUACAAGCAGUCCCUGGACCCAACAGUGGAAGAAGUGAAGAAAUUGUGUACCUCGCUUCGGCGUAAUGCCAAAGAAGAGCGUGUGCUCUUCCAUUACAAUGGGCACGGUGUACCCAAGCCCACCAGCAAUGGCGAGAUCUGGGUGUUCAAUCGGACGUACACCCAGUACAUCCCGCUGUCAGUGUACGACUUACAGACCUGGAUGGGAGCUCCUUCUAUCUAUGUUUACGACUGCUCCAGUGCUGGAGUCAUAGUGGACCUCUUCAGGCAGUUUGCCGAACAGCACGAACGAGAGUUUGAGCAAGGAAACUCAUCAACGGCAAACCGAGUGCCACCACCUUCAUUUAAGAACUGCAUCCAACUAGCAGCAUGCUCUGCGGACCAGAUUCUGCCCAUGAAUCCAGAUCUGCCUGCAGAUAUCUUCACCUCCUGCCUAACCACGCCCAUAAAGAUAGCACUGCGCUGGUUUGUAAUGCAGAAUCAGAACCGACUAGAGCCCAGAGUAACUUUAGAUCUGAUCGACAAAAUCCCUGGCCAGCUGAGUGAUAGAAGAACAAUGCUGGGAGAACUGAACUGGAUUUUCACAGCUAUCACCGAUACUAUAGCGUGGAACACUCUACCUAGAGACCUGUUCCAAAAGUUAUUCCGCCAGGAUUUGCUGGUGGCCAGCCUGUUUCGCAACUAUCUGCUGGCUGAAAGGAUCAUGAGAUCGUACGACUGUACACCAGUUAGUUCCCCUGCUCUACCCCCCACCUACCAGCACCCUAUGUGGCAAGCGUGGGAUCUUGCCUUAGACUUGUCACUGGCUCAGUUGCCUGCAGUGUUGGCAAACGAGGACAAUUUCACACACUCACCUUUUUUUGAAGAACAACUCACCGCCUUCCAAGUUUGGUUGCAGUUAGGCUCUGAACAGAGAAACCCUCCAGAACAGCUGCCAAUCGUCUUGCAGGUGUUACUGAGUCAGAUCCAUCGUCUGAGAGCGUUGGAGCUGCUUGGCAAAUUUUUGGACUUGGGACCUUGGGCAGUCAAUCUGGCCUUGUCAGUUGGAAUAUUUCCUUACGUUCUUAAACUGCUUCAAGGCGCUAAAGAACUUCGACCCUUGCUUGUAUUUAUUUGGGCCAAGAUCCUCGCAGUAGAUGUGACAUGCCAAGCUGAUUUAGUUAGAGACAAUGGACACAAGUAUUUUCUCUCUAUCCUCCAAGACACCACAAUAAGAAGUGAGGACCGCACUAUGGCAACGUUUGCGCUUGCUUGUGUUGUGCACAGACACGCAGCAGGGCAGGAUGCAGCUCGUGUCAGCAAUCUUGUGUCAGUCUGUCUGGAGCAGCUUGGUGACCCCAAUCCUCUGCUGAGGCAAUGGCUGGCACUAUGCCUGGGACGCCUGUGGCACAACUACGACAAGGCCAGGUGGUGUGGAGUAAGGGAUUCAGCCCAUGAAAAACUCUAUGUGCUGUUGAAAGACCCUGUUCCAGAGGUGAGGGCGGCUGCUGUGUAUGCAUUGGGAACGUUUAUCAACUCAGUGUCGGAACGAAGUGAACACGCUAACAACAUUGACCAGAGCGUGGCAAUGAUGCUGAUCACUUCAGUGGCUCAGGACAUGUGUCCUCUGGUGAGGAAGGAACUGGUUGUGGCGCUACAGUGGAUGGUAUUGGUGUUUGAAAACUCCUUCCUGUCCGUGGCUCUACAGGAACUUCUGCGUGACAGUUCCCAGGUGGUAGUGGCAACAGAUGUGCUCUCAGAUGCCACACUCUCGCCAACGUCGUCACUGAAGCGCAACGUGUCACGUGACCGCAUGCGGACUUUCUCCAACAACACACAGUACGGAGGGGACCAGCUAGACUCUGGCAUACAUGUUGACCGACUCAAGAGAGUGUCUUCCAGUUCUUCCAUCAGCUCGUUAGGUGGAUGUUCUCUACUCAAUAACUUACCACAGCUGUCAUUUGGUAGCGUUUACAUGAAAAUGUGGCAAGCUCUAACUAGCCUUGAUUCUGACCCGUUUCCCGGCGUUGCGCAGCUAUCGCGCACCAUCACGGACCACAUCCGUGACCAGGUCUGUGCCUGGCCCAGCGUUGGGCUGCGACACAGAGAUGAACAGACGUGGGCUGGAUCAACUGGACAUCUGCUCUCUGUCAGAGACAUGACCAAGGAAAACACUGAAUCAAGACUGAAUACUUCACUGUCACUGCCACCGUCCCCUUCCAACAGGUCCUUCUUGGGGGAUUCACCUCCACCUAACUUAGUAGGUUCAGCCACUGAUCUCCACCGCCUGACAUCUGGACGUAACCAUAUAGUACCUCGUGCACGCAAGAACAUGCCCAACACGAUCACAGAGGACUCUAACGAAGAAGGAGGAGGAGGUAUGAGGCCACUGGUGACAACUCAAUUUACAGAGUGGUGUUGUAAACACUUUUCCCAGCCAUCGUCUGCUAGUACAGAUAGCGCAGAGGACUUUGAGAGUCCUCGCUUCUACCAGAGAGAAUACAGGUAUCUGGAGAACACAAAACUGCGCAAUGCCGCACGAGAGGAGUGUGCAAGACUGGCGAAGGGUCGGAUCGACAACCAGAUGUUCACUGUAAAACUGACACAGCCACCUGGUGUGCUCUUCUUCCAUCCCUAUCUGCCCCACCUCGCCGUUACAGUAAAGGAUUGCUUUAGUGUAUGGGACUACCAGAGCAAUUCCAAGCUGUGUCAUUGGCGGGUGGACCGCUGUGGAGGUGGAGGAGGCUCACUGGCCCGCCACCCCACCAGGAUCACUGCAUUGGAAUGUGUAAAUGCCCAUGACUCUGAAAGCUUACUGGUGACGGGCUCGGAGGACGGGACUGUGAGACUCUGGGCCAACUAUAACAGUGGUGGAAGUAACAGAGAGCCCCAACUUGUGACCGCUUGGCAAGCACUGCCGGAAGGUUCCGUGUCUUCUGGGCGCAAUACCAUCAGCUCCACAGGAGGAGGGGACAAGGGACUGGUGAUGGCGUGGCACCAGAAGUCGCAGAUGUUGGCUGUUGGGGGAGACUCACGCAUCAUUCGCUUGUGGGAUGCAGAGCGUGAACUGCGUGUCUGUGACCUCUCAAGUGGUGCAGAUUACGCAGCAACCUGCCUCGACUGUGACCAGAGUGCGGGCUCACUGUUGGCUGCCGGCUAUGCGGAUGGAGCUGUGAGACUCUACGAUCGGCGGCUGCCACCCAAUGAAGCCAAAGUCUACACCUACCGAGAACACGCACAGGGCGUGACCUAUGUAAAUCUGCGUGGUGAUAGUGGCUCACUUCUCCUUAGCGGAAGUGGAGCAGGAGACGUUCGUGUAAUUGACACACGCAAACACUCAACUGCAGUCUCCUGUCAGACGUCCCAGGGGAUGACAUCGAUGGCAGCACAUCGGCUGGCAGACAUAUUUGCAAGUGGCUCCAUGCACCAGUACAUCGGAGUGUACAGUCUGAACGGUACUGCCCUCAAUGUUAUCAAAUAUCAUGAGUGGUUCAUGUCUUCACACUUUGCACCUGUUACCUGCCUGGCCUUCCACCCUCUGCGUAGUCACAUGGCUGCAGGUUCACUGGACAGUAGUGUUACAGUUUACUCGAAACUAUUGUAAUAUUUAAAACAGAUUUCAAGAGUAGUGCUAUGGUGAAAAAUCAGCUGCACAAGUUAUUUUCUCAUUCAGAAGAAAGUGAAAUGUCAAUUGAUGACAAAACUGGAUCAGGACGUGGAGCCGAAAAGAUGACCCUCGUUGUCACUCAUUCACUAGCAGAGCUUCGCUUGCACUCGUUUGCUAGCCUCUGCCUGACUGUGAGCACUCGCUACUCACUAACCUGGACCUCAAUUCCUAGUGAAUUGUACAUAUUGUGUAAGCUUGUUUGCUGUAAGUACUUGACCUUUUGACGGUAAGCAUUUUAUAAUUAGUUUGUAUAAUAUUUUAAAGUUAUCCAUUCUAUUUUACAACAACCAAGCUUCUUUCAAAUAUUUACUUGGUUGUAUCAUGUUUAUUUAAAUAAUUGUUGUAUUGAUUAGCAAUUUCAUAUAAUACACCCAGCAUUAUAUUUCACCACAUUGAUUACAGCUGUAUUUUUGUACACUAGGUUUAGUAACUUGGAUUGUUAGUAGUUUCAUACUUUUUAUUACAUAUAUUAAUAUUAAUUUGAUAUUGUUCAUAAUUAAUGAAAUUGUUUCUAUUUUUCUAUGUGUUUUAUUAGUAUACGGGGUGGAUGUAUAAAUUAACCCUUAACUCUUUUGUAACUCUAUAAUUUAAAUAAUAAAAUACAGUUUUUUGAGAACAUUGUAUUUUAAAAUAUUGAUAAAUACUUCCUAAGUUCUUCCUAAAUGGGCAUUGCUUAUUUUGUAAACCUAAAGUACAUAUUAUGUCUUUAAUCCCACAGAUUUGUGAUUUUAUUAACUUAUAACAUUUUUUAAUAGUUUUAAAUUCAGUUUUCUGCACACUUUCGUCUAGCUUGAUUAGAAAAUCGGGCUACAAUUUAAAAACACAAUUUUUUACUCACCUCUCUCCAGUAUUGCAAAAAAGAGCCAAAAUAAAUUUAUUUCAAAACAUAAUACAAAUUGUCUUUUAAAUCAUUUUCCAAUAUGUUUGUUUAGUAAAUCCAAUAGUUAAUAUAAAAAAGAAAAAUUCACAUUUAAUUUUCUAAAAAUGUAUGUAAAUCUUCAUUUUUAUAAUGUCUGUAUUAAGUGUUAAAAAUACUGAGGAUUAGUUUUAAAUUAUUUUAAGGUACUUCCUUCUAAAAGGUAAAAAUAUUUUAAAUCUAAAAAACCAAACUUUACUUAGUCUGAUAAGAUCUCGUUCAUUAGUUAAUGUUACAUUUUCGUGACAUGUUAAUGUUUAUUAUUAAAACAAUUUUAAAUGGUGGUAGAAGGGUUACUUUAUCCCCAUCCUGCAUAUAAAAUUAUGUUUGAGUACAUCAAUACUUUUAUUUUUAAUUUAUAAAAAAAUACUGUAUUUCUACAAGAUGCAUGUUAUAAAUCGUUAUUAUUGUAAUAAGUUGGUUGUAAUAUAAUGUUAUUGUUAUACAUACAAAAUAUUUUAUUUUUAUACUUUAAUUUUACAAUAAUUAUAAUCAAUGUGGAUUUAUUUUUUACCAUCAGAUGUUUAUAUUUUAAAUGAUAGUCUUGACAACUUUUUACACAUUACAGAAACUGUUAUUUUUGUUUUAAUCAUAAUCUUAUAGCAUUUAUUUUUGUUGAAGAUUUGUACCAUAUGCUUAUUAUCUAUAUAUUUUGUGUUUUUAAAUGGAUAGCUAAUCAAUUAUAACCUUUAUAAUUUCUACAAAACACGUUUAAAUUAAUGUAAUUUAAAAUUCUUAAAUACCAAUACUGGUAAGAACACCACCCAAUUAUUUUAUUUACUUCUAGUAAACAAUUAAAUAUACUGAGCAAGAAAGAUUUGGCUUUUUGACUUCUAGAAAUAUACAAACACUACUGAAAAAGUAGUAUAACAGUUGCACAAAAGCUGAAUUGGUUUUUAAAACUGUUUUUUUUUUUUUUAAGUUGAAUCAUUUUACAUACGUAAUUAAACUUAAAUUCCUUGAUAAAUAAUUAAAGUUAUUUAGUUUAUGUAGAAAUCAAUGUUAUUCUUUAUUAAAAAUUGCAUUGUGGAAUUGUCACUUGGUAAUAUUAGUAUUAGUUAAAUAUUAGACUAAGAAAUGACAUAAUUUGUAUAGAUAUAUAAGGGGGUACCACAAGUUUAUGAAAUGGUGCUAUGUUGUGCAACAGAGCUCCCCUUCUUAGUGAGCCACAAUAGCAGUAUCUGUCCAUCCACAGUCAGAGAUUCUUUGUUGCUAAGAAACAGCAACAUUGAUAAUUAUAAACUAUUGGGUGAAAUCAUUAGGGCAUUUUAGUGGCAUAGGCAAUUUCAUCAUAGCAUUUCCAUAGCAUAAUUAUUAUUUAUAUUAAAUUUCUUCACCUUUAUCCUAGAUCAUAACACUUUAUUUUCAUUUUUAAGGGAUCUGUAAUCGAGUUAAAAGUAUGUAUUGUGUUUUUUAAACCUAUAGUUAAAAAAUAAUAUUUUUGUUGUUGAGAAGUACGUUUAGUUUUGUGCUUCUGAGGUCUUAAUUGUAACAAAAAUAAUAUAAGCAGUUAUUUAAAUAAAUAAGGUUACAUGAUUGUUCUUUAAUGUCUUUUUUGCAGAAUGAAUAGUGUUCUUUUGUGUUCUCUUAACCUUAAGUUAUCCCAACAUGUGCUAAUAAAAUAAUUAAAUGAAUAGUAUAUGUAUAGCAGUUCUUUCUUGUCACAAAAUGGUGUUAAUAUUUGCAGUACAAAAUCUCAAGAAGGCAAUUUACUGGUAACUCAGUCAUAAUGAAAAAAAAUGUAUAUAUAUAUUCUAAACUUAAUCCAAAAAUUGAUCACUAUCAGCCCCUAGGAAACUUAAUCCACAAGAAAUCAAUACAGAUCACUCCUGCAGGGCUUUUAAAAAAGUCAAUUGGCCUACCUCAUAAAAAAUUCAAAUAUUACUGUACUACUAAAAAUUAAAUUUUAUCAACAAAAUAACUUCCGCUGCACCUUAAAAUCACCCAAACUAUAUAACAGACUUUAAUUACCUAUCAUUGUUCUGUUAAAAAGGAAGUUAACCACAUGUGAUUAAGCCAGUGCCAAGACAUUUAAGCUUUCAAUAAGUAUCUUGUAAUUGAAAUCUUUGUAACAAUAAAAAGUACACUAAUAACGGAAUAUCCUUUCAAUGAUAGGAAAUAUGACAUCAGUUAUGGUUUUCUACUUGAUAAAACAAAUUUAUUGCAAAGUAAAUACCCAUGUAUGUUAAUGUACAACUGUAAAUUGAAUACUGUUUUUUUCUUCAAAGAAACAAGUUGAAGUGAUUGCUACAGUGUCUUUCAAUAAAUAUUUUUGAAAAAGUAAAAAUUAUUGGAGUGAAUUUUCAAGCAUAUAUGCUAUCAAGCACUUUAUGUGUACUUGUUAUCUAUUUAAUUUAAAAACAUUUUACUGUCAUUCAAAUAAUUAUCCAAUUAAUGCUAGAAUUGUCUUCAAUAUUUUCUCUUUAAUUAAGCUACAGUAAUAAAUUAAAAUAAUAAAUCAAAUUUAAAAAAUAAUAAGAAAACCCUCAAAUUGUGGAAAGAAUAAAAGUUUAUUAUAUUUGAAAUCUUUAUUAAAUAAUAAAAGAUACUUGUAGCCCCAAUUUUUCAUACUGUAUUUAAGUAAACAGCAGCUGCUUUGAAAGUUUUCUUCCAGUGAAAAGGCUGAAAGCAAUGUGAUGUUGGUAACAGCUUACCAUUGUGCUAUAGAAAUAUUCAAGUAAAUUUCUUGUUGAGAGGAAGUAAAAGCUGUCCAUCAACCUCCUCUGGUAUUGACAAAAUUAAUCUUACAACUUUGUUUGUAGAUUGACAAUGGAUCAUUGAAAAGAUAAGUAUGUUAUCAGGAAUAAGUUGGUACUCAGUCCAGAAAAAUAUUUUCAGAACAAUUUGGGGGUGGGAAAUGUAACUGUACAAUCUUUGCACUAGUAUUUUGAAAAGUAGGAAUUCUAGUUGCUCACUACAGCACCAUUUCCGGAACUUUCGGGCACCUCAGAAUAUUAUUGUGUUUAGGUAGUGUAAGGGUCAACUUGAGAUGGUAGUAACUGUUUAUUGCAUUUAUUUAUUUGAAUUAAUCUGAAAGAGAUGUAGACAUCUGUUAUAUAAGGAUUUAGUUUCCAUGAAAUAACUUUUAAUUACUUUAGUAGACAACCUGCCAAAAGUUACGGAGAAAGCACUCCGACCCUUAUAAAGUUGUAAUUGAAUUGUUGGUUUUGUAUGUUUAAUUUGUUUUUGUCAAUAGGCAUUUUUUUGUACCUGGAUAAUGCAUCAACAGUGCAUACUAUAAUUGUGAGUAAUUUAGGUACAGGUAAAUACUUUGUAGAAGCUGCUGGGAAACACUCUCCCAAACCAUGUACUACAAUCAGCCAACUGUCAAGCUGGUUGUGGCCAGCAGAGCAAUGUAUAUGGCCAUUAAACAUAAUUAUAAUAAAAUUAGCAUUUACUAUUAUCCAGUAAGGUUGGAUUAAACAUAAGAAAAUGGCUAUACCAGUUUUGUUUUAUUUUUUGUUUUUUUUUCUGUCAAUUGUUCCACCACAAUAUAUUUUACAUAUUUUAAUUUUGAGGGUUCUAACAAAAACCGUUAAAGAUUACAUAAAUCUAGUCUGAGAGAUGUGACCUUCUUUGAAUGUAACAUAGAAUCUGGUCUAAGGUUUAAAAUCAGUAACUUUAGUUUGAACACAAUUCUGGAAAUAAGCAUUCUAUAUAUAUAUAUAUAUUUUUUUUAGUGUAUAUUAGGAAUCGUAUAUUUAUUAGAGUAGACUAGAAUAAAAAAGCACUAUUGGUUUUAGAAAGUUGUUUAUUUUAAUUUAAAUAAACAGGUUGUAAUUUUAGUACCUGACAGGCAGUUUUAUCAUUAGUUUUUAUUUAGUUGUCCCUUUUUAUUCUCACAAAAGUGUGUGGAUAUGGUGGAAAUGGAUAAUAAGUGUUUUCUCUUUUAAAAGAAUACCAUUUGUUUGUAGAUAGCGCUGUUUUAUAUGCUUAAAACUAGAUCCCAGACGAUCAACCAGACUUUCAUUCUUUCAAAAUACUAACAGUAGAUCCGACUAGAGUGUGAAAUGGACAAACUGACGAAAGACUGAAAGAACAAAAGUAAUAGGAAUAAUACAGAGUGAGGCAGUGAAACGGCACGAUUUUGUAAAACCACCAAAGAUUUAUUUACAAGUAAAAUCAUAAUAGUUGAACAUGGAUCUCAAGUACAAGAGUGGAAAUUAAAGAUUUAACUUAAAAACAAUCAUUUUUUAAAUAUGGUGUCAGUGAGGUGUCGUCCUUGGUUUUGCACACAUUGUCUAAGCCCUGAGAUGAAAUUGUCCCAUGACGUUUCGUAGCAUCUGUACUGGAAUGUUGUUAAUUUCCUGUCGAAUUCGCUCCUUCAGGUCUUCUUUUGUUCUUGGUGGAUUUUCCUGGAAGACUUUGCACUUGAGGUAGCCCCAAAGAAAAAAGUCUGGUGCCGUCAGAUCUGGUGAACGGGCAGGCCAGGGGAAAUCGCCAUUCCUGCUGAUUAGACGUCGUGUAAAUGCAAGUCUGAGCAAUUCCAUUGAGACAUUAGCAGUAUGGCUUGUUGCACCAUCUUGCUGGAAGAGUGUUUCAGCAUCUGGAUCAUGUCGAUCAAUUCCAGGCAGACCAAAAAAUGGUCAACAUGUCAGCAUAACGUCCAGAGUUUACCGUCACUGUGUUGCCAUCUUCAUCUUCAAAAAAAUAGGGCCCCACGAUUCCACGAGAUGACAUUGCGCACCAGACUGUUACUUUUUCAGAAUGGAGAGGUUUUUCAUGAAGUUCUUGCGGGUUAUCUGAGGACCAAUAUCUGAAGUUUUGCUUAUUUACGUACCCACUAAGAUGAAAGUGGGCUUCAUCACUCAUCCAUAAGUUAUGCACUCUUUCUUCAUUUCGUUCAAUAACGUUAAGCAUUGACUGACAAAAGCGUAUUCGGUUAUUGUAGUCAAUUGGUUUAAGGGCUUGCACUACCUGAAUUUUGUAUGGAUGAUAGUGAAGGUCACUCUUCAAAAUCCGUCUUACUGAUCGAUUGCUGAGACCAAGUUCUGCGCUGUGCCGUCUCGCGGAUUUUUCGCGGACUUCGUCCCAACACUUCGCGCACACGAUUAAUGUUCUCGGGUGUCCGGAUUGUUUUUGUGCUGCUGCCUCUUUUCUUUGUUGUGCUAGCAGUAUCUUCAAAGGUUUUAACCCAAAGGAGAAUGGCUUUCCUUGAUGGCACGGGAGCCCGUGGCGGCAGGUUGAAUUCACGACGAAAGGCGCGUUGAGCACCAACCACACUAUCCGCGUUUUUGUAAUAUGCCUUUACGGCAUAUGCACGUUGCGCACUCGACCAACGCUCCAUGGCUACUGAAACUUCCACCACUCUAGACGCCCAAGGUCACUUCCCCCACUCUCGCAACCCCCCUCCGCGCCCGACAACCACUAUCGAAAUCGUGCCGUUUCACUGCCUCACCCUGUAUUACACCUAAGACUUUUAAAUUAGUUUUAGGUAGAGCCUAAUACAACUCAGCCUAUUGCAAUUGUCUUCAUGGUAGCACUUACUGAAUGUGUCUGCAUAAAAUCACCAAGCAUGACCCACAGAGCCCAAAAUCUCUCCCAGUUCUAAAUUUUUUAUGUAUAUAUGGUAUAAAAUGCGGUUGUGAUUUAUUUCUCUAUGAUGGGAAGCUGAGAAUUUAGUCCUAAAAGGACCUUUGCCCUCACUCCGGAGUGACAGAAUAUUCUGGUUGGGUAAGGUUGGGAAUAAUGCCAGAAGCGAGGUCCAUGAGGAAGGAUUUUGGGCAUUAAUCUCAAGUCAUUUCUCCUUUGAAGAAGGGGAGGCCAGCUCUGUAACAGCCCCUUCAGUCAAAGUGGGAAGGGCAGCACACCCUCAUGUCUAGGCUAGCAACUGCCUUUUACACUUCGGGAGUCCCACCAACUCCAACAGCUCAUUCACUGCAUUAGGCUAGACCUCGAUCUAUCCUACACCCCCAAUAACUUGACAUUUGCGGUAAGUGAUGUGCCCCUCCUGGACAUUCAUAGGGUUGCCCAGAUAAGUGACACAUCAGUUUUUUUCUGUACUCAGUGUACGUUCAACUGGAAGGUAUAAACCAGCCAUAAUGUAAACUAUCUGGGAAAAUAAUAAUUCUUGAAUACUUACAACAUUUCCAAAAUAUCUUUCAAUUGACAAUUGUUUUUUAUAUUGAACGUUUUUUUAAAUAUCAAUUACAUGAAAAUCUCAUUGGAAUUUUUGCACUAAGAACUGGUGAUAGGAAUGCUGAAACAAUUUCAAACUUGGUACAAAGAUUGAUAUUAUAAAUAUCUCAUUGGCUAGCUUGGUACACCAUUUCAUUUCAAUGUGGCUGCCGUUAAAAAUUAUAAACCUAGAGAAAAAAAUAAAAGGUGUUCUGGAAUGCUUAUAACAUUUCUUAAACUUUUUAUAUAAAUAAUAUUUUUGUAUUUUAAACUGUUUUUCAGAUAUUGAGUAAAAUCCGAUUAGAAUAAGUGAUUUAAGUGGUCACAAAAUCUACCUACUUCUUUCAGCUGAGCCGGAAGGACAUUUAUUAAGUAUUGUGUACAACACUUUGAUAUCAAGAAGACAAUCAUCAUGGUACAUUAGGUUAAGGUAAACAUAAACAUAAAUUAAUUUGUGAUAAAAACUACCUUUGUGGUAAAAUUUUUAAAUGUUCUAAAGAUGUAAUUAUAUUACUUUUCUGGCAUUCAAUAUAUACAAGGUGUUCACAAAAGGGUGUCACAAACUUCUGUGGCUGAUAGUACUCAUCAUUUUGAACAAAACGUAUCAUAAACAUAGGUCGAUAAAUGUUUCAUUAGUCGCCACUUCAUAUAAAAUAUUAUCUCUAAAACUAGUUAAGCUAAAGAAAGUAAAUAUAGUACCUAAGUUUGAAUAGAUAAGAGAAUAUUUUUUUCAAUAAUUGUGUUAUUUUAUUUAAUAUUAACAAAAUGGCGUCUGUUGAAAAUGUUGAAGUCAAUCAAAGAAAUCAGUAUAGUUAUAAAAAAUAUAUUAGACACCAACUAUUUAAAAAGAUUCAUUACAAUUCCUACGGUAUUUGUUGCAAUGAAAUUCGUCAGUAAAUAAACAAGCACAACUACUUUAAAAGUAGGCUCGCAUAAGCCGGGAGCAGAAAACAUUUUGUCUUUUGAUGGGCAUGAGCUGUUUUACAUAGGUUAUGAAUUUUUUCAAAUAGUUUGUGUCUGGUAAAAUUUGUAUAACUAUACUAAUUUUUUGGUAUUUGACUUCUAAAAUUUUCAUCAGACACCAUUUGGUUAAAACUAAAGAAAAUAACACAAUUAUUUUUCUUAAUUUUCCUCUUAUCUAUUCAAACCUAUGUGCCAAAUUUGGUUUCUUUAGUAUACCUAGUUUUAGAGAUAAUUCUUUUGUACAAAAAAUACAUAAUGGCGGCUAGUGGCUAAGAAGACGUUUAUUGACUUAUGUUUAUAUGACAUUUUUUGUUUGAAAUGAUGAAUACUAUUACCCACAGAAGUUUGUGACACCCUUUUGUGAACACCUUGUAUGUUCAUUUUACUCAAUAAAAAUGAAUUUAAAAGUGAUUAAUAUUUCUAUUUGUUAGUUUUAUUAAACACUUUGAGGCUAUAACGCUAAUAUGAUCAAAAGUAUUUGUUUACACAUUAGUAUCCUUGCCACCACCUAGGAAAUACAGACCACUAUGUUACAGAAGGAGCCAGCCAGCGUGAACCGUGGCAUAAGCAAUUGUUCCCUCUCGCAUUCCACGCUAGAGCACGUGGUAUAGUCAGUGCCAAACAAACGUAGUGCUCACUUAGCAUUUUACCAAAACUUUUAACCAAAGAAUACUUAACUUUUUAUCAAAACUUAUCAGGCCACCAUUUUUAUAGCGAUAGAUACCUGCGAGCGAGUCUUUGUAAUAGGACAAGUAGACAUGCUAAGCAACUGCGUUGGCUUGUUUACUGACUGUACGUUGUAGUGCCACGAAAGGGGGUGGUAUGGGACAGCGCACGCUACAGGCACGAAUACUCCGCAGUUUGCGUUAGCUGGCGCCCUCAGUACUUGCUGCUUAUUUUAAUUAACAUUUACAAGCUUAACCUAUGAUUAUUAUAGUUCAUACAUCAGUGUUUUGAUCAUAUUAUUUGAUAAUAUUAGGACUGAUCCAACAGAAGUGUAAAAAAUGCUGACCUUGUUAUUGGAUAUGUGUAGAAUAAUAAAAAAAACCGUUAUAAAAAUAAACAAUUUAUUUCCCAGCUUAGUAGUGGUAACAUAGUUUGAGCGAAUUCUCAAGCAUAUAGGCUAAUUAAUUGAUAAGCCAUAUUAAUUUCCUCUCCCACCCCAAAGUUGUUUGAGCAAAUUCUUUUUUUUUGCAUCUACUUUGUAGGUAUAAUAUUCAUCCGUAAUCAGUCAGGUAUUGGAAAUAUUUAGCCAUAUAUAUUUUAAUCUUCUUUCAGUUUCUCAAAAUGUCUUCUUAUUGCUUGUGAAACACAUUAGGACAAAUGAAUAGUGCAAAAAUAAUAAAAAUUAACUACAUUCACCUUAACGUAGUACAUGACAAGUCCAAAGAAUUAACUUAGUUGGUCAAUAUUUUGUAGACGAGGAGCAUCCAUAAUAGGUUUCACCAUGUCUAAUGACUUAUACAGACUGUCGGCACUUACAGUGUGUCCCAAAUAAAAUAUUUUUUCAUGGAAAAAAUUUACAUUUGUCUGCAUUUAGAUUCGGUUAAUUUGACAUAACUUGUUUAAUGGCCUAAUAAAGUUUCUCUUACACUCUGAAAAUGUAGCCCCUUGUUCAAGAUAUCAUCAAAAUAAGCGUAGAUUCCUGGAAGAUUUUGAAUAAAUUUAUCUAUGGACUUAUGAAACUCAUUAUGUGCUUGCUGUCUUUAAUCCAAAGAAUAUAAGUUUUGCUAAAUAUAUACUUUGAUGUGUAGAAAUGGCUUGAAUUAAGGCACUUUCUUUAUAAACCUUAAGAUGUAAAUAUGCUUUGUGUAUAUCCAAAGUGCAGAAAUAGUUUCCAUCACGUACAUGUAGAAUACGUCUUGUAUCUUUGGUAUUGGGUAAAAAGGCACAUAUUCUGGAAGCCCAUUUUUAUAAUCUAUGAUAUCCAGGAAUAAUUUUUUGUAUCUUAAUUUGACCAUCACUAAUUUAUGACGAAUAAUUUAUAGUCACAUUACCUACAACAAUUAUUUUUAAAGUAUUAUUGUGUUUAACUGGAAUUAAAUGUAGUGGAUCAUACCAAUUUUGUUAUAUCUAAGCAAAUGUUCCAUUAUUUUAUUUACUGUUUAGUUAUAUGGUCCAAUUAUAAUGAUGGUACACUGAAUAACAAUUGUAGUUUCCAGUUAGCUAUUGUCUGGAAUUAUUCAUGUUCACAAUGAUACAUAUUUUUAGAAUUGACCUGUAUUUUUAGCUAAAAAUAAUACAGGAAUUGAGAAUCAAUACCACAAUUUUGCUAUAGGAGUUGGAACAUCCAAGAGGGGGCUACCUGAGUUUUAGUUUACCAUUAUCAUUACUGUCACAGGAAUUUUUUUAAUUCGAUACAGCAACAUAAAAUGUUUAGAAAUAAUUUUACUCAUACUCAAAGUUUAGUUCAAAAGUUAAGUUAAUUUUAUUUGUUAUACAUAUAAUAUGAGAGUAAUAGUUCUUUUUU